UGCUACAGGCUUAACACAUGCAAGUCGAGGGGCAGCAUGGUCUUAGCUUGCUAAGGCCGAUGGCGACCGGCGCACGGGUGAGUAACACGUAUCCAACCUGCCGUCUACUCUUGGACAGCCUUCUGAAAGGAAGAUUAAUACAAGAUGGCAUCAUGAGUCCGCAUGUUCACAUGAUUAAAGGUAUUCCGGUAGACGAUGGGGAUGCGUUCCAUUAGAUAGUAGGCGGGGUAACGGCCCACCUAGUCUUCGAUGGAUAGGGGUUCUGAGAGGAAGGUCCCCCACAUUGGAACUGAGACACGGUCCAAACUCCUACGGGAGGCAGCAGUGAGGAAUAUUGGUCAAUGGGCGAGAGCCUGAACCAGCCAAGUAGCGUGAAGGAUGACUGCCCUAUGGGUUGUAAACUUCUUUUAUAAAGGAAUAAAGUCGGGUAUGGAUACCCGUUUGCAUGUACUUUAUGAAUAAGGAUCGGCUAACUCCGUGCCAGCAGCCGCGGUAAUACGGAGGAUCCGAGCGUUAUCCGGAUUUAUUGGGUUUAAAGGGAGCGUAGAUGGAUGUUUAAGUCAGUUGUGAAAGUUUGCGGCUCAACCGUAAAAUUGCAGUUGAUACUGGAUAUCUUGAGUGCAGUUGAGGCAGGCGGAAUUCGUGGUGUAGCGGUGAAAUGCUUAGAUAUCACGAAGAACUCCGAUUGCGAAGGCAGCCUGCUAAGCUGCAACUGACAUUGAGGCUCGAAAGUGUGGGUAUCAAACAGGAUUAGAUACCCUGGUAGUCCACACGGUAAACGAUGAAUACUCGCUGUUUGCGAUAUACUGCAAGCGGCCAAGCGAAAGCGUUAAGUAUUCCACCUGGGGAGUACGCCGGCAACGGUGAAACUCAAAGGAAUUGACGGGGGCCCGCACAAGCGGAGGAACAUGUGGUUUAAUUCGAUGAUACGCGAGGAACCUUACCCGGGCUUAAAUUGCAGAUGAAUUACGGUGAAAGCCGUAAGCCGCAAGGCAUCUGUGAAGGUGCUGCAUGGUUGUCGUCAGCUCGUGCCGUGAGGUGUCGGCUUAAGUGCCAUAACGAGCGCAACCCUUGUUGUCAGUUACUAACAGGUUCCGCUGAGGACUCUGACAAGACUGCCAUCGUAAGAUGUGAGGAAGGUGGGGAUGACGUCAAAUCAGCACGGCCCUUACGUCCGGGGCUACACACGUGUUACAAUGGGGGGUACAGAGGGCCGCUACCACGCGAGUGGAUGCCAAUCCCCAAAACCUCUCUCAGUUCGGACUGGAGUCUGCAACCCGACUCCACGAAGCUGGAUUCGCUAGUAAUCGCGCAUCAGCCACGGCGCGGUGAAUACGUUCCCGGGCCUUGUACACACCGCCCGUCAAGCCAUGGGAGCCGGGGGUACCUGAAGUGCGUAACCGCGAGGAGCGCCCUAGGGUAAAACUGGUGACUGGGGCUAA
rnacentral:rRNA from 1 species